AUCUGCACACGUGUUCACAUUUUCUAUCUGUUGCCCUCAUUGCAGUCAUUGUUUUCGUUAAUAAUAAUAACUUUGGAAAUGUGUGCGUUUCUAUCAAACUACAUGGCCUUAUGACUCCCAAGUGACGCAGCGGUCAAGGCACAGCACAUCAGUGCUACAGGCGUCACUACAGACUCCCUGGUUCAAAUCCAGGCUGCGUUUCUAUCAAAAAACCACAAACAUUAUUUGACAAUAUCAUAACUGGAGCUGGACAUCUUUGGAGCAGAAGAAUGAGGACAGCUUUUGUAUGCUAACGUACACUCCUUAACAGUCUUACUGGAUGAAAAGACAGCAAGAAAACACAUAUGCCAAUAUGUAAUAGUCGUCUAUUUUAUUGCAGUUUUGGUAGUUGGAUCAACAACUUGUUAUACUAGAGGACAAAAAACUGAAAUGCAUAACCCAUAUUUAAUAUUCAUGCAGUGACUGAACAACAACUGCAUUUCCACCCCCCCCCCCCCUCUGAAGGCAUAGUAUCAUGGCAGUCAGUCACUUAUUGCUGCAGAUGUGCUCAAUAAUGCUUGAGCAUGUGAUACUCCUCAAAGCAUGGUGAAAUACAUAGAGGUGUAUCACAAGCUAAACACAUGUAUUUUGUCAUCUUCCUCUGCUUACUUCUCCUGGUGCCAGACAGGCAGACUUUGCAGUGCCUCCUUGUGCGACUACCUUGAGCAGCAGUUUGAGGGACUUUGCAGGGAAAAUGCCGUGCAGUGAG